CUGUAUAUCAGCUAAGAGAAGUUGAAAAGAUGGAGUCCUCAGAGGCCUAUGGAGAUAUCAAGCCAAGUGCUGCUGCCCCAGGCACCAGGGGUUAAGAGAACCACAUGGCGUUGGGCUUCCAAAGGCCAAAGACUCCCUUCUACAAGCCGUACAGAUCCAAGAGUUUAGUCUCAAAAACCAGAGUCCUGGCUGGGUGUAGCUUGGUAGAGUGCCUGUCUUGCAAACUCUGGGUAUGGGGGUGCACGUCUGAAAUCCCAGCGCUCUGGGACCCACUCCAGGAGAAUCAGAAGGCCAAACGUAUCCUUGGCUAUACAGUUUAAGGCUGGGGCUAUAUUAAAGGCUCUCUAAAACAAAACAACAAAACAAAACAGCCUGUGCUUAUGUACCGAGGCCUGAUGCCUGUACUUUUCCAGAUGGUCUUCAGCAGAGUUUCAGCAGGCAAAUAGCACGUGCCUGGUGCCAGGAAGCCGACCUGUCCAUUUGCUUGGCCAGCCUCAGUCUCCGGGAUCCAAUCCGAACUCUUUAUGAUAAUGAGGUCCAGGCUCAGAGAGGGAUGGGGCCUCACCAGAGCCACACAGUAACAGUGUUCCCAUAGUUUAGUAAUAAUUGUGGACUAAAGAUCCCCGAACUCGGGGCUGGGGAUUUAGCUCAGUGGUAGAGCGCUUACCUAGGAAGCGCAAGGCCCUGGGUUCGGUCCCCAGCUCCAAAAAAAAUAACCCCCCCCCAAAAAAAAGAUCCCCGAACUCCAACCCUUAGUCCAGCUCUCUUCUCCCAGACCAGAGAGGAGAGAGGGUCCCUCACCAGUCCUGGAGGCUGGCCACCUAGGAUCAAAAUCUUGGCUCUACUGCCAAGACAGUGUGCUUAGUCACUGAACAAGUAGGGAACGCUCUCUGUACUCUAAGGGCUGUAGCCUCGAGUAACCACACUGUCUCUAUCCCAUCCCUGUACUUGGACUGAUCCUUCCAUUCAGGGAAAAACGAUCGAG
rnacentral:lncRNA from 1 species